GAAGCUGGAAUCGCUAGUAAUCGUAGAUCAGCAUGCUACGGUGAAUACGUUCCCGGGUCUUGUACACACCGCCCGUCACACCACGAGAGUUUGUAACACCCGAAGCCGGUGGAGUAACCUUUUAGGAGCUAGCCGUCGAAGGUGGGACAAAUGAUUGGGGUGAAGUCGUAACAAGGUAGCCGUAUCGGAAGGUGCGGCUGGAUCACCUCCUUUCUAA
rnacentral:rRNA from 1 species